rfam:Xanthomonas campestris pv. campestris str. ATCC 33913, complete genome.
GUCAGGCACGGUGCUCAAUCGUGUAGCGUUUGAGCGACGCUUUACUGACUUCAAGGAUGAAGGACGCGUCGCCGCCACCCUAGAGGCGGCAUCCCCCGCGUGACGCCCUCUGCAGGCACCGUCGUGACCGGAUUCCUUGACUCACUUUGUGUGCGCGUUGAUUGCGCACGGCCACCUUCCGCUCAGACCGGCGCGGAGGUGUAGCGAUAGGACAGCAGCGUUUUCACCAGGAAGGUGAUCUGGGUGGCCGAGCGCGCAUCCACGCGCAUGACCGGGAUGCGGAAGCCUUCGGCCACCAGUGCUUCGCGGAAC